UUCUAGUGAGGGAUACGUCCGUCACCGAGACAGACACUGAUUCUGAGGUGUGGAGCAGCACAGUGUCUCUCUCUCAUACUCAGACGGUUUGGGCUCAGACUGAAAGCAGCAGCUCUGUGCUAACACUGACAUACGCUGAGAGAGAUGGAGCGACGACAGAUACAUCGGUCACAGAGACAGACACCGAUUCUUUGACAGAUACUCAGUCCCAGAGGGACAGUCACUGAUUCUGUGACGACGGAUACAUCAGUCCCAGAGACAGACAUCGAUUCUGUGACGACAGCUUUAUCAAUUCCAGACACAGACACCGAUUCUUAUACGUUGUCAGUCACUGAGACACACACUGAUUCUGCUCAGCUGUUCUCGGAUGAGAUUCCCUGGAUCCGCAUCGGUCUCAUCAGCGGCGUUCUGCUCCUUACCGCUGUCUUUCUGGCUUUAUUGCUGGUGUUUGGAAGAAUCUGAGUCGUCGAGAGAAAACCAUUGUUGCAGACAUUUCCAGGAAACAGCUGAUUGUGUGAACUGUGAAAUCUACAAGUAGUUCAACAAAAUAUGAUGUAUUUUUAUCUGCUGUUUAUUUACAGAACUUAAAACUGUUUGAUGCUUUAUCUUGAUAGCUUAAAACAUAUUUGUGUCCCUGGAGCACAAAAGCAGUCUUAAGUCUCUGGGGUAUAUUUGUAGCAAUAGACAACAAAACAUUGUAUGAGUCACAAUUAUUGAUUUUUCUUUUAUGCCAAAAAUCAUUAGGA